rnacentral:rRNA from 1 species
CGGAGUAAUACAUCGGAACGUGUCCUGUUGUGGGGGAUAACUGCUCGAAAGGGUGGCUAAUACCGCAUGAGACCUGAGGGUGAAAGCGGGGGAUCGCAAGACCUCGCGCAAUUGGAGCGGCCGAUGCCCGAUUAGCUAGUUGGUGAGGUAAAGGCUCACCAAGGCGACGAUCGGUAGCUGGUCUGAGAGGACGACCAGCCACACUGGGACUGAGACACGGCCCAG